CCUACGGGAGGCAGCAGUGAGGAAUAUUGGUCAAUGGGCUUACGCCUGAACCAGCCAAGUCGCGUGAGGGAAGACUGCCCUAUGGGUUGUAAACCUCUUUUGUCAGGGAGCAACGCCGGCUACGUGUAGCCGGACUGAGAGUACCUGAAGAAAAAGCAUCGGCUAACUCCGUGCCAGCAGCCGCGGUAAUACGGAGGAUGCGAGCGUUAUCCGGAUUUAUUGGGUUUAAAGGGUGCGUAGGCGGAAUGCCAAGUCAGCGGUAAAAUCGCGGGGCUCAACCUCGCUCCGCCGUUGAAACUGGCGGUCUUGAGUGGGCGAGAAGUAUGCGGAAUGCGUGGUGUAGCGGUGAAAUGCAUAGAUAUCACGCAGAACUCCGAUUGCGAAGGCAGCAUACCGGCGCCCAACUGACGCUGAAGCACGAAAGCGUGGGUAUCGAACAGGAUUAGAUACCUUAGUAGUC
rnacentral:rRNA from 1 species